rnacentral:rRNA from 1 species
CGUAAAGCGCAUGCAGGCGGCCUGUUAAGUCAGAUGUGAAAGACCCGGGGCGUUAACCUCGGAAUUGCAUUUGAAACUAGGCAGGCUAGAGUCUUGUAGAGGGGGGUAGGAAUUUCAGGUGUAGCGGUGAAAUAGCGUAGAGAUCUGAAGGAAUACCAGUGGCGAAGGCGGCCCCCUCGGACAAAGACUGACGCUCAGAUGCGAAAGCGUGGGGAGCAAACAGGAUUAGAUACCCUGGUAA